rnacentral:rRNA from 1 species
GACGAACGCUGGCGGCGUGCUUAACACAUGCAAGUCGAACGGAAAGGCCCUGCUUUUGUGGGGUGCUCGAGUGGCGAACGGGUGAGUAACACGUGAGUAACCUGCCCUUGACUUUGGGAUAACUUCAGGAAACUGGGGCUAAUACCGGAUAGGAGCUCCUGCUGCAUGGUGGGGGUUGGAAAGUUUCGGCGGUUGGGGAUGGACUCGCGGCUUAUCAGCUUGUUGGUGGGGUAGUGGCUUACCAAGGCUUUGACGGGUAGCCGGCCUGAGAGGGUGACCGGCCACAUUGGGACGGAGAUACGCCCCGGACCCCUCCGGGGGGCAGAGGGGGGGAAUUUUGCAAAAGGGGGGGAGGCUGUAUGCAGCACCCCCGCGGGCGGGAGGCCGGCUUGCGGUUUGUAAACCGCUUCCGCCUGGAACGAAGGGUGAGUGACGUUAAUGGGUAAAAAACCCCCGGCUAACUACGUC